GGACCACUUCCGCACAGGAGUCGAGGCCAUACGGACAGCCGGGUCCACUGCCGA
rnacentral:sRNA from 12 species